UACGUUCCCGGGUCUUGUACACACCGCCCGUCACACCACGAAAGUUGGCAACACCCGAAGCCGGUGGCCUAACCCGCAAGGGAGGGAGCCGUCGAAGGUGGGGUUGGCGAUUGGGGUG
rnacentral:rRNA from 1 species